AGUAAAUAAAGCAUUUUUGGUGCCUUGAAAAAGGAGAAUAGGGAAACAGGUUAAAAUCCUGUAGGGACCCACCACUGUAUUGUUGGAGCACUUGUCAUAACCACCUCACGGGAAGGGACAAACUGCGAUGAAGCUAACUCAGGAGACCUACCAAAAGUGAAUCCAUUUG
rnacentral:ncRNA from 2 species